rnacentral:rRNA from 1 species
CAGCCGCCGCGGGAAUACGUAGGGUGCAAGCGUUAAUCGGAAUUACUGGGCGUAAAGCGUGCGCAGGCGGUUUGUUAAGACAGAUGUGAAAUCCCCGGGCUCAACCUGGGAACUGCAUUUGUGACUGGCAAGCUAGAGUGUGGCAGAGGGGGGUGGAAUUCCGCGUGUAGCAGUGAAAUGCGUAGAUAUGCGGAGGAACACCGAUGGCGGAGGCAGCCCCCUGGGCCAACACUGACGCUCAUGCACGAAAGCGUGGGGAGCAAACAGGAUUAGAUACCCCUGUAGUCCCUGUCUCUUAUAC